rnacentral:tRNA from 1 species
GGAGAGGUGCCCGAGAGGCCGAAGGGGCACGAUUGGAAAUCGUGUGUAGCGGAAGUUACCGGGGGUUCGAAUCCCUCCCUCUCCG